rnacentral:rRNA from 1 species
GAUGAACGCUGGCGGCGUGCCUAACACAUGCAAGUCGAACAGAGUCCAGCCUUUAAGACCUUCGGGUCAAAGAGGGGAAGACUGAGUGGCGGACGGGUGAGUAACACGUGGGCAACCUGGCUCAUAGAGGGGGAUAACAGAGAGAAAUUUCUGCUAAUACCGCAUAAGCACACACUGCCGCAUGGCAGAGGGUGAAAAGAGAAUCGCUAUGAGAUGGACCCGCGUCUGAUUAGCCAGUUGGCAGGGUAAGAGCCUACCAAAGCGACGAUCAGUAGCCGAUCUGAGAGGAUGAACGGCCACAUUGGGACUGAGACACGGCCCAAACUCCUACGGGAGGCAGCAGUGGGGGAUAUUGCACAAUGGGGGGAACCCUGAUGCAGCGACGCCGCGUGAGUGAAGAAGUAUUUCGGUAUGUAAAGCUCUAUCAGCAGGGAAGAUAAUGACAGUACCUGAAUAAGAAGCCCCGGCUAACUACGUG